rnacentral:rRNA from 1 species
UACGUAGGGGGCGAGCGUUAUCCGGAUUUAUUGGGCGUAAAGGGAACGCAGGCGGUCUUUUAAGUCUGAUGUGAAAGCCUUCGGCUUAACCGGAGUAGUGCAUUGGAAACUGGGAGACUUGAGUGCAGAAGAGGAGAGUGGAACUCCAUGUGUAGCGGUGAAAUGCGUAGAUAUAUGGAAGAACACCAGUGGCGAAAGCGGCUCUCUGGUCUGUAACUGACGCUGAGGUUCGAAAGCGUGGGUAGCAAACAGG